UGCGAGCGUUAAUCGGAAUUACUGGGCGUAAAGACGCGCGUAGGCGGUUAUUUAAGUGAGGUGUGAAAUCCCUGGGCUCAACCUAGGAACUGCAUUUCAAACUGGAUAACUUGAGUAUGUCAGAGGGUAUUGGAAUUCCCGUGUAGCAGUGAAAAUGCGUAGAUAUGGGAAGGAACAUCAGUGGCGAAGGCGAAUACCUGGGAUAAUACUGACGCUGAGGUGCGAAAGCGUGGGGAGCAAACGGGGAUUAGAUACCCCUGGUAG
rnacentral:rRNA from 1 species